rnacentral:rRNA from 1 species
CCUACGGGAGGCAGCAGUGAGGAAUAUUGGUCAAUGGGCGAGAGCCUGAACCAGCCAAGUCGCGUGAGGGAGUACUGCACUAUGGGUUGUAAACCUCUGUUGUCGGGGAGCAAAAGCCGGACGUGUACGGCUGUGAGAGUACCCGAAGAAAAAGCAUCGGCUAAAGCCGUGCGAGCAGCAGCGGUAAUACGGAGGAUGCGAGCGUUAGACGGAUUUAUUGGGUUUAAAGGGUGCGCAGACGGAUUUUUAAGUCAGCGGUCAAAUCGUGGGGCUCAACCCCAUCGAGCAGUUGAAACUGGGGAUCUAGAGUGUGCGAGAGGUAUGCGGAAUGCGUUGUGUAGCGGUAAAAUGCAUAGAGAUCACUCAGAACCCCGAUUGCGAAGGCGGCAUACCGGUGCACAACUGACGCUCAGGCACGAAAGCGUGGGUAUCGAACAGGAUUAGAUACCCCUGUAGUC